UAGGGAAUCUUCGGCAAUGGACGGAAGUCUGACCGAGCAACGCCGCGUGAGUGAAGAAGGUUUUCGGAUCGUAAAACUCUGUUGCCAGAGAAGAAAGCUAAGGAGAGUCACUGCUCUUUGGUUGACGGUAUCUGAGAAGAAAGCCCCGGCUAACUACGUGCCAGCAGCCGCGGUAAUACGUAGGGGGCAAGCGUUGUCCGGAAUUAUUGGGCGUAAAGCGCGCGCAGGCGGCUGAGUAAGUCUGGUGUUUAAACCUGGGGCUCAACCUCGGGUCGCAUUGGAAACUGCUUGGCUGGAGUGCAGGAGAGGAAAGUGGAAUUCCACGUGUAGCGGUGAAAUGCGUAGAGAUGUGGAGGAACACCAGUGGCGAAGGCGACUUUCUGGCCUGUAACUGACGCUGAGGCGCGAAAGCGUGGGGAGCAAACA
rnacentral:rRNA from 1 species